GGGAUAGCUCUGUUGGUAGAGCAUGAGACUCUUAAUCUCAGGGUUCUGGGUUCAAGUCCCAUGUUGGGUUGGACCA
rnacentral:tRNA from 1 species